rnacentral:tRNA from 1 species
CAAAAUGUAACUUAACUAAAGUAUUUCGCUUACACCGAAAGUAUAUCUGUUAAACUCAGAUCAUUUUGA